rfam:Canis lupus familiaris chromosome 5, whole genome shotgun sequence.
GGACUUGAGAGUGAUCUGGCUGCAACAUCUGUCACCCCAUUGAUUGCCAGGGCUGAUUUGGUGGAUCCAGCCUGCUGGGUGGGCACCCCCUUCUUCCCUCCCUGCCCUGUGUGCUCCCCCCAUAGAGGAGGACCGUGCUUGGGCUGAGGCUUUAUGAGCUGCUGUGCUACCCUGCUAGAACUUCAAGCAAGCUCUCAAGGCCCAUUUGUAAGAGAAUAGAGGGUAGUCAGGCUUCCAAGUUUCCAGACACAUCCAGAUGAGGUGCUGCAUGUGGCUGUGUGCCUUUCAAA